AUAUUGGUCAAUGGGCGGAAGCCUGAACCAGCCAUGCCGCGUGCGGGAAGGAGGCCCUAUGGGCUGUGAACCGCUUUUGCCUGGGGGCAAUAAGGGCGUCGCGCACGUCCGAUGAGAGUACCAGGCGAAUAAGCAUCGGCUAACUCCGUGCCAGCAGCCGCGGUAAUACGGGGGAUGCGAGCGUUAUCCGGAUUCAUUGGGUUUAAAGGGUGCGUAGGCUGUGCGUCAAGUCGGGGGUGAAAUUCCGGUGCUCAACACCGGGGCUGCCCUUGAUACUGUCGCGCUGGAGUGCGGAUGCCGCCGGAGGAAUGAGUGGUGUAGCGGUGAAAUGCUUAGAUAUCACUCAGAACACCGAUUGCGAAGGCAUCUGGCGAAUCCGUAACUGACGCUGAGGCACGAAAGCGUGGGGAUAGAACAGGAUUAGAUACCCUGGUAUUCCACGCCGUAAACGAUGAUGGCUAACCGCCGGCGACACACUGUCGGUGGCCAAGCGAAAGCGAUAAGCCAUCCACCUGGGGAGUACGUCGGCAACGAUGAAACUCAAAGGAAUUGACGGGGGCCCGCACAAGCGGAGGAACAUGUGGUUUAAUUCGAUGAUACGCGAGGAACCUUACCCGGGCUCGAACGGCACCUGGAUCGCCCAGAGAUGGGCGAGUCUUCGGACAGGUGUCGAGGUGCUGCAUGGUUGUCGUCAGCUCGUGCCGUGAGGUGUCGGCUCAAGUGCCAUAACGAGCGCAACCCUUGCCGCCAGUUGCCAUCAGGUGAUGCUGGGCACUCUGGCGGGACUGCCACCGCAAGGUGUGAGGAGGGGGGGGAUGACGUCAAAUCAGCACGGCCCUUACGUCCGGGGCGACACACGUGUUACAAUGGCGGCCACAGAGGGAAGCUACCCCGCGAGGGGAUGCGGAUCUCGAAAAGCCGUCCCAGUUCGGACUGGAGUCUGCAACCCGACUCCACGAAGUUGGAUUCGCUAGUAAUCGCGCAUCAGCCAUGGCGCGGUGAAUACGUUCCC
rnacentral:rRNA from 1 species